UACGUAGGGUGCGAGCGUUAAUCGGAAUUACUGGGCGUAAAGCGUGCGCAGGCGGUUUUGUAAGUCAGAUGUGAAAUCCCCGGGCUCAACCUGGGAACUGCAUUUGAGACUGCAAGGCUAGAGUGUGGCAGAGGGGGGUAGAAUUCCACGUGUAGCAGUGAAAUGCGUAGAGAUGUGGAGGAAUACCGAUGGCGAAGGCAGCCCCCUGGGUCACUACUGACGCUCAUGCACGAAAGCGUGGGGAGCAAACAGGAUUAGAUACCCUGGUAGUCCACGCCCUAAACGAUGUCAACUAGGUGUUGGGAGGGUUAAACCUUUUAGUGCCGUAGCUAACGCGUGAAGUUGACCGCCUGGGGAGUACGGCCGCAAGGCUAAA
rnacentral:rRNA from 1 species